GUCGAGCGGAAGGCCCUUCGGGGUACUCGAGCGGCGAACGGGUGAGUAACACGUGAGCAACCUGCCCUAGGCUUUGGGAUAACCCCGGGAAACCGGGGCUAAUACCGAAUAGGACCUCUGACCGCAUGGUUGGUGGUGGAAAGUUUUUCGGCCUGGGAUGGGCUCGCGGCCUAUCAGCUUGUUGGUGGGGUGAUGGCCUACCAAGGCGACGACGGGUAGCCGGCCUGAGAGGGCGACCGGCCACACUGGGACUGAGACACGGCCCAGACUCCUACGGGAGGCAGCAGUGGGGAAUAUUGCACAAUGGGCGGAAGCCUGAUGCAGCGACGCCGCGUGAGGGAUGACGGCCUUCGGGUUGUAAACCUCUUUCAGCAGGGACGAAGCGUAAGUGACGGUACCUGCAGAAGAAGCACCGGCCAACUACGUGCCAGCAGCCGCGGUAAGACGUAGGGUGCGAGCGUUGUCCGGAUUUAUUGGGCGUAAAGAGCUCGUAGGCGGCUUGUCGCGUCGACUGUGAAAACCCGCAGCUCAACUGCGGGCCUGCAGUCGAUACGGGCAGGCUAGAGUUCGGUAGGGGAGACUGGAAUUCCUGGUGUAGCGGUGAAAUGCGCAGAUAUCAGGAGGAACACCGGUGGCGAAGGCGGGUCUCUGGGCCGAUACUGACGCUGAGGAGCGAAAGCGUGGGGAGCGAACAGGAUUAGAUACCCUGGUAGUCCACGCUGUAAACGUUGGGCGCUAGGUGUGGGGGGCCUCUCCGGUUCCCUGUGCCGCAGCUAACGCAUUAAGCGCCCCGCCUGGGGAGUACGGCCGC
rnacentral:rRNA from 1 species